AUGAUCCCACACCCCAAGAUCCCUUUCCCCAGUACUCCUUCCUAGGCAGUCAUUUUCCAUUUCCUAUGCGAGGUAAGGAAGUAUUCUCAAUUCUACAGAUAAGAAAGCUGAGGCAGAGAGAUGUGUGUAGAAUGUUACAAAGAAAGCCCACGGUGGAACUGAGUAUAAAAUCCAGGUUGCUCUUGCCUUUCAGUUCUAUACUUCAAUCACACAAGCAUCUUGUCUCCCAAAUCAAUCUUGAGAGAUUUCCCCCAACUCCCACAAUUCUCAAUUGCUCCCUGAAAGUAUUUCACAGAAAACCUUCCAGAAUCAAAAGCUGAAAAUUCAUGGAAAGUAACUUUUCAGUUAUCUAACAUAGCAUUUCUCAACGACUAGUCUGUGGACUGGCACUGGCACAGUUUAGGAAGGCAACAAGAUGGUCCCUGGUAUAAAGGUUGAGAAACAGUGAUCUAAACACAUAAGGAAUUCAGCAUGUCUGAGUCAUUUGUUCAGUGACAAAAUUUGCAAGACAAUUUCAACACAACAAUAGGAAAUUUAAACUAGGACAGGUAAGUUAAAAACAGUAGGGAAAAUAUGAUACACCCAACAAGAGGGAGAAUCCAGUGUUAAAAGAUGUCUACUGUAGGAAAUAGUUUGCAAUGUAAUUGGUGGCAACAAAAAAAGGCUGCUGCAAUUUUGGGGUGCACAGAGACAUUUCACAAAUCAGGAAUGUACUAUCUUCUCUACACAGCUCAGUGCAGCUGCAUCAGGCACCUGAUUUCAUUUCCAUUAUCCAGAUGUCUCUGAGGGCCAACUAAAAACUUCAUAUGAUCAGUUUAAGAUAUAAGACUGAAAUUUGUUUAUGAACAUUUGGAUUUGGGACAAAUGUCAAACUGAAAUUUGGAUAACUGGGGAUUUGACUAUAUUGCAGUCACUCCUGGGCAAACCACUAGUAGCAAGACAAACUGGAGGGAGUUCAGAGAAAAACAGCAACAAUUUUAAGAGGUCUGGAAGGACUGAUGAAUGAGAAAAAAAUUAAAAGUUAAAUAUACAUAACUUGGUCAAGAGACAAAGGGAGGGAGAGAAAUCCAUGGAGAGCGUAAACAGAAUGGAAAGGAGCCAUUUAGGAUAGUGGAAGGUGUAUAAUUAUGAUAUACUACAUUUUGGUUAUGACAUUACAAAAGGAAAUUUUAGGUAGAAUAGCAAGAAAAGCUUCCUGAUUCUAGGAUACAUUAUACUGUAGAAUGGUAUUCCAAGGGCUGUUACAAAAGAUCCCAUCAAUAGAUACCUAGAAGAUGUACCUACCCCAGAUAACAGUACAGCAAUUAUAGGGAGAUGGACUGGAUGACCUACAUCAUUUUUUUUUCCCAUUUGAAUUAUAGAAUUAAAGAUGAAGGGCAUUUUAACAUUUUCUGCCCUCACUCAUCUUUGGAUGAGUAAAUCAGAAUACCCCAUUAGUUUUGUAUGUAGUCCAUGCUUUUACAAUGAAAAAACCCCUUACUUAUUUUUGGAAGGGAAGAGCAAAGUCUCAUGUCUAUUUGAAAUUACUAAAAUUCUGCAAGAAAUACGUUUUGCUUUUGCUUGCAAAUUUUCUAGUCUAUUACUCCUCUCUCCAUGUUUAGAUUUGAUGAACAGAAAUCUCACUUUCAAUAGCAAAAAACAGUUGUCAUUUCAAAGCCAAACUGAGAUAUUAAACCAGCUAAGUAUGAAGAAAAACUCAGAUCAUUUUUUUUAAAUCAAGAAUCCCAGAACAGGGUUGCAACAUGGAAUUUAACUUAGGUGAUGUGUAUGAUUACUUGAACAUCAGUGACUACCAUUAAAAUCCAGAAUUCGCCAGGUUAGCAUGAUGUGGUAUAUUGUUACAAUAGGAAUCAACUAUUGACUUGUUGGCAAACAUUGACAUUUUAUUGGGAGCUCCUGUACUACUUAUAGAAUUAUCAACACUUGAGGAAUUAGGCCAUAAAACUGAAAUAUUACAAACUUUUCUCCUUUUCUUCUUUUAUUUCUCUACCGCAUCUUAAAAAUAAACUAACAGAAGGGCUUAAGUCAAAGGGAAACAAGGUGUAUGAUUUUAAUAAACAUUUUUCUUAUUAAAAACCUUGAUAUUGCUUAAAUAUACCAUACAGAGAAAAGCUAUUUUAUAAAGCAACAUACACAUUUCAAGUCAAUGAUGGCAACAUAAAUAUUUUGGCUAACCCCUCUGCUUAUGUCAUCAGAAUGUCUUGGUUGUGUAUAUAUGGUGAACUACUGUAUAAGACUAGUUACCUGUGUAAUUUCUGCCUAGCUAUACAGUACAGGUUUUUAAAAAAUGUUUAUGCUAUAUACAGAAAUAUAUAUACAUAUAACAUAUAUAUUUAUAUGUUAUACAUACACAUACAUUUUUAUACAUAUACACACACAAUACAUAUAUACACAAUACUUUACACUUACAUACGGCCUUUGAUCAGAGGAUCUUGGAUGAGUUUUACAUCAUUAAGCCUCACAAAGCUUCUGUGAGGGAGGCAGCUUCUUUAUUUUUAUGGACUGUGAAUCUGAGGCCUGAUCUACACAGUCUUUGUACCAAUGUGAACUAUUUCAGUUAGGGCUGUGAUUUUCUUUUUACUGAAGUAUUUAUAUUGGUACAACACCUAGCGCGGACAGUUAUACUGGUAUAAAGGUGCCUUAUACCUGUAUAACUCAGUGGCUUGAGCAUUGGCC